AAAGGGAGACCUAAUUCAGGUAUGGGACGAAAAAAAAGUAGUCCCUACCAAGAAUCAAUCCCAAAAGGUCGGAGCGAGGCAUGAGGCUUUCAAACUAGGUUCUGGGUUCACACAAGACCUGAAUCAGGAACAAGGGCUAUUAGCUCAGGUGGUUAGAGCGCACCCCUGAUAAGGGUGAGGUCCCUGGUUCGAGUCCAGGAUGGCCCACCUGCACAGGUGGCAAAAACAAAAAAAAGAAGCGAGGAAUCAGCACCUUAUCUUAUACACAUAUAUAAGAGAGAAUGCUGGCUCUGAGUAAAGAGUCCAGAGGAACCUUGAAAACUGCAUAGAGCUAGGUGAAAAAGCCAAAAAAGAAGACCGCAAG
rnacentral:tRNA from 1 species